rnacentral:rRNA from 1 species
UGUCUAUUAACUGUAGACCAGCAUGAAAGGCAAAAUGAGGGUCUAACUGUCUCUUAUAAUAAAUCAAUUAAACUGAUCUCCUAGUAAAAAAGCUAGAAUACAAACAUAAGACCAGAAGACCCUGUGAAGCUUAAACUAAACUAUUAAACCAUAUAAUAGCUACUUUCGGUUGGGGCGACCUUGGAAAAAAAAAGAACUUCCAAAUAAUACGGAUAUAACCCACACCUUUAGGCCUACAAGCCACUAAACGACCCAGUAUAACUGACAAUUGAACCAAGUUACUCCAGGGAUAACAGCGCCAUCUUCUUCAAGAGCCCAUAUCAAAAAGAAGGUUUACGACCUCGAUGUUGGAUCAGGACAUCCUAUGGUGUA